CGGCGACGGGUGAGUAACACGUGGAUAACCUACCUAUAAGACUGGGAUAACUUCGGGAAACCGGAGCUAAUGCCGGAUAAUAUAUUGAACCGCAUGGUUCAAUAGUGAAAGACGGUUUUGCUGUCACUUAUAGAUGGAUCCGCGCCGCAUUAGCUAGUUGGUAAGGUAACGGCUUACCAAGGCAACGAUGCGUAGCCGACCUGAGAGGGUGAUCGGCCACACUGGAACUGAGACACGGUCCAG
rnacentral:rRNA from 1 species